rnacentral:sRNA from 1 species
UGGAUGACGAGUUGGAGAGUCGAUAUGAUAUUGUUCACCUCUCUUUUAUAAGACAUGGAUGACUUAUAAAAAAGAGGUGAACAAUAUCAUAGCGACUCUCCAACUCGUCAUCC